UCCCAGACCCUUUCCAUUCCUGCGUCCAGAGUUCGCUUCCCGCGGCCAGAUGAUGGAAGCUGAGUGGGA
rnacentral:miRNA from 1 species